UACAGAGGGUGCAAGCGUUAAUCGGAAUUACUGGGCGUAAAGCGCACGUAGGCGGUUUUUUAAGUCAGAUGUGAAAGCCCCGGGCUCAACCUGGGAAUUGCAUUUGAAACUGGGAAACUAGAGUGUGUGAGAAGGGGGUAGAAUUCCAAGUGUAGCGGUGAAAUGCGUAGAGAUUUGGAGGAAUACCAGUGGCGAAGGCGGCCCCCUGGCACAACACUGACGCUCAGGUGCGAAAGCGUGGGGAGCAAACAGG
rnacentral:rRNA from 1 species